rnacentral:rRNA from 1 species
AAGUCGUAACAAGGUUUCCGUAGGUGAACCUGCGGAAGGAUCAUUAAUGAAUAAACCUGAUGUGGUUGUAGCUGACUCUUUCGAGGGUAUGUGCACGCCCGUCAUCUUUAUCUUUCCACCUGUGCACAUUUUGUAGACUUGAAUACUAAUUUCUGAGGUCACUCAGUUUGGAGGAUUGCUGGUAUCUUAUCGGCUAUCCUUGUAAUGUUCAAGUCUAUGUUUUUCAUAUACUCCAAAAAUGUAACAGAAUGUAUCUUUGGGCUUUGUGCCUAUAAACUAUAUACAACUUUCAGCAACGGAUCUCUUGGCUCUCGCAUCGAUGAAGAACGCAGCGAAAUGCGAUAAGUAAUGUGAAUUGCAGAAUUCAGUGAAUCAUCGAAUCUUUGAACGCACCUUGCGCUCCUUGGUAUUCCGAGGAGCAUGCCUGUUUGAGUGUCAUUAAAUUAUCAACCUUAUUAAUUUGUGAAAAUUGGUAAUGGUUUGGACUUGGGGGUUUAUUUUGCUGGCCUAGGUCUGCUCCCCUUAAAUGUAUUAGCUGGUCUCCUUGUGGAGCUUGUCUAUUGGUGUGAUAAUUAUCUACGCCGCGGGCCUUCACUUUAAAUGGAUUGUACUGCUUCUAACAGUCCUUUAAUUGGGACAAUCAAUGACAAUUUGACCUCAAAUCAGGUAGGACUACCCGCUGAACU